UACAGAGGUUCCAAGCGGUGUUCGGAUUCACUGGGCGUAAAGGGUGCGCAGGCGGUCGGGUAAGUCUUAUGGGAAAUCUCCGGGCUCAACCCGGAAAGGGCAUUGGAUACUAUCCGGCUGGAGGGUUGCAGGGGGGACUGGAAUUCUCGGUGUAGCAGUGAAAUGCGUAGAUAUCGAGAGGAACACCCGUGGCGAAGGCAAGUCCAUGGGCACUUCCUGACGCUCAUGCACGAACGCUAGGGGAGCAAACAGG
rnacentral:rRNA from 1 species